rnacentral:rRNA from 1 species
UACGUAGGGGCAAGCGUUGUCCGGAAUCAUUGGCGUAAAGAGCGUGUAGGCGGCUCGAUAAGUCCGCUCUGAAAGCCCGGGGCCUCAACCCCGGGAGGCGGGCGGAUACUGUCGAGCUAGAGUCCGGAAGAGGCGAGUGGAAUUCCUGGUGUAGCGGUGAAAUGCGCAGAUAUCAGAGGAACACCAAUGGCGAAGGCAGCUCGCUGGGACGGUACUGACGCUGAGACGCGAAAGCGUGGGGAGCAAACAGG